GCUGGGAGGAGUUCUGUCUCCUCAGGCAACGCCGAGGCUUCGGCUGGGACGCCCGGCUCAGCGUCUCUGCUGACAGCAAUUCAGUCUCCUUAGGACUCGCUGGGGUUUCGGUUUCAGGACGACGCAGGGCUGAGUCCACGCUGACGGAAGCUGGGUUUCCUGAGGACCCAGGCGACGCCGGGAGAUAAAGCAGACCUGAAGAAGAUGCAGUUCCACAGUGGACGGCAGCUUCAUCUACUACUCGAGAUUUCCAGCCCGGCCUUCCUGACUGACGUCUGGCCCCAAGAAGGUUGUAUGUCUCCAACCGGCCGCACAGCCUCCAUCCUCCAGAGCUCCCAGCACAGCGGAGUGUCCAUCAGGCUCUGCUGGAAGCCACAGUUAGUUUUUGCAGGUGUUAAGUGGAAGAAAUAGUCCUACUCUAUCUUCUGCUGUUUGAGAGCUGACACCUUAAAGUUCACUCCUCUCUUCUUCCUCUGCCCACUGCUGGGAAAUUUGGUAAGAAGCACAGCUUCUCCCUCCUUCGAUGCAGGUGGGAGAUCAAAACCACGUGAGCCCCGCCUGUGAGCACAACACUUAACCCCCCCACACCCAGGAACCACAUUAAAAACCCUAAUCCGUCUCCA